GCGGCCGUGGCGGAAUUGGCAGACGCGUAAGGUUCAGGUCCUUAUGCCCAAUAGGGCGUGAAGGUUCGACUCCUUUCGGCCGCAC
rnacentral:tRNA from 1 species